rnacentral:rRNA from 1 species
UACGGAGGUGGCAAGCGUUGCUCGGAUUCACUGGGUGUAAAGGGCAAGCAGGCGGCCCUGUAAGUCGGGUGUGAAAUCCCACGGCUCAACCGUGGAACUGCGCUCGAAACUGCAAGGCUUGAGGACAAGAGAGGCGAACGGAAUUCCCGGUGUAAGGGUGAAAUCUGUAGAGAUCGGGAGGAACACCAGUGGCGAAGGCGGUUCGCUGGCUUGUCCCUGACGCUGAGAGGCGAAAGCUAGGGGAGCAAACAGG